rnacentral:rRNA from 1 species
GACGAACGCUGGCGGCGUGCUUAACACAUGCAAGUGGAGCGACGAACCAGGGCUUGCCCUGGGGCAGAGCCGCGAACGGGUGAGUAACACGUGGGUAACGUGCCCCGAUGACUGGGACAACCCGGGGAAACCCGGGCUAAUACCGGAUAUGCCCCCUCACGCGAGUGAGGUGUGUAAAGGAAGCUUCGGCCUCCGCAUCGGGAUCGGCCCGCGGCGCAUUAGCUUGUUGGUGAGGUAAAGGCUCACCAAGGCGACGAUGCGUAGCUGGUCUGAGAGGACGAUCAGCCACACUGGGACUGAGACACGGCCCAGACUCCUACGGGAGGCAGCAGUGGGGAAUCUUGCGCAAUGCGCGAAAGCGUGACGCAGCAACGCCGCGUGGGGGAAGAAGGCCUUCGGGUUGUAAACCCCUUUCAGUUGGGACGAAGUGUGGGCGGUGAACAGCCGUUCCGCAUGACGGUACCUUCACAAGAAGCCCCGGCUAACUACGUGCCAGCAGCCGCGGUAACAC